AAUAAGUGCAGUUUUAUACUAUUCACGUUCAACGUUUGACUGUUUGUUUUAUUUGAAAAUUUUUUGUGAUUGGUAUUUUUAUUGCUAUUAGAUGAUAAAACAUGAAUAGUAUUUUAUUUGUGACUAAAUAUUUUCAAUUUUUUCACAAAUUUUUCAAAUAAGACGGACGGUCAAACGUUGGGCACGGAUAUCCAGGGCUGCACUUAUU
rfam:Oryza glumipatula chromosome 3, whole genome shotgun sequence.